rnacentral:rRNA from 1 species
GACAGAGGCCUCAAGCGUUAGGCGGAAUCACUGGGCUUAAAGCGUGUGUAGGCGGACUUCUAAGUGCCUUGUGAAAUCCCACGGCUCAACCGUGGAACUGCUGGGCAUACUGGGGAGUCUUGGGCCAUUCAGGGGCAACUGGAACAAGCGGUGGAGCGGUGAAAUGCGUAGAUAUCGCUUGGAACGCCGGAAGGUGAAAACAGGUUGCUGGGGGUGUGCUGACGC